UCUAUGUUCUUCCUCCAAAACCAUUUUAUGAUUGGGAUUACAGGCAGUUCUUUAGGACUGCUCUCAAAUAAUUGAAAUGUUACUAAACAAGGUUAUACUUAUCAAAUUAAAUAGCUCUGGUCUCCAGUAUAUUGGCGAAUUUGGUUCUUUGUACUUAAUUUAUUAGCAUGAUUUCUUUUUAAUAUGUUGUGUACAGACUUAAUUACUUCUCUGUCUACUUUUCUUACUCCAUGUAGGUUUCCCAGAGACUAUGGGUUGAGGAGGAAUUGGAAGUUUGUCGGCUUAGACCUGGUGUCAUUCCAUCAGUGUUAAACUACCCGGCUCAUCUUAGAAGAGUACGUGCCAGAAAGACCACGACCAAGCAGCCUUGAGAUCUUAGGCAGCAUCUCCCUGAGGUCCCUCUCUAUCUCCCCACACAUCCACCAACCACUGGAACACAUCUCCAAAGUUCUGCCGGGCCAGCUCAGCUUCCCCUCAGAAGAAGUACCACCACCUGCCAGAUGAAGGAGCCUUUUGAGAGGCAGCUGGCAUCGUGAUUGGACUGUACUUUGGUCUGUUCCAAUCCAGCUUCAGCUCCAGAGACGGCAGGCGGGACGAGUCAACGGAGGCCGGGUGGAUGAAGGCAUGCAGCUGAGUACAAUCCAGAAAACAACAGAGGAGGAGUUCAGGGCCAGAACAAGCAGAGUAGCAUCGUAUGUCUCUUAGAAAACAUCAUAUUAUAGCCUUUGGUAUGAAAAAACACCAUCAUAUACAUCGUAUAUUGUACAAAUAACAAGUCAACGCAAAGAGACAUACAUUGUAGAAUUGUAGUAAUUGUGGGCUGACUGAUUUACUGAUUAUCAGUAUUUUAUUUUUUACUGAUUUACGGUAAUAAAUACAUUUAAAAAUGGC